rnacentral:lncRNA from 1 species
UAUUUUUGGAAAAUUUUCAUUUUUUAGAGAAAUAUUGUAGAUUUUGGUUUGUGAUUUAAAAAUUUGGAUAACAAGAAUAUUUGUGGAUAUAUGAGUAUUAUUUAAGAUUUUUUGAUCAAUGUGUUGUAUUUUAAAAUAAUUUUCUUAAAAACAGCUAUUUUUGGAAAGUUUUCAUUUUAUAGAUAAAUAUUGUAGAUUUGGGUUUGUGAUUUAGAAAUUAGGAUAACUAGACUAUUUGUGGACAGAUGAAUACUCUUUAAGAAUUUUUCAUCAAUAUGUUAUAUUUUCAAAAAAAAAUUUAAAAACGGCCAUUUUUGAAAAGUUUUCAUUUUUCAGAGAAAUAUUAUAGAUUUGGGUUUGUGAUUUAUAAAUUAGGAUAACAAGAAUAUUUGUGGAGAGAUGAGUAUUUUUCGGAGUUUUUCAUCAAUAGGUUGUAUUUUUAAAUAAUUUUCUUAAAAACUGAUAUUUUUGGAAAGUUUUCAUUUUUUUAGAGAAUUAUUGUAGAUUUGAGUUUGUGGUUUAAUAAUUAAGAUAACAAGAAUAUAUGUGGAUAGUUGAGUAUUAUUUAAGAAAUAUUGUAUUGUAGAUUUGGAAAGUUUUCAUUUCUUUGAUAAAUAUUGUAGAUUUGGAUUUGAGAUUUAGAAAUUAGGAUAACUAUACUAUUUGUGGACAGAUGAAUACUCUUUAUGAAUUUUUUAUCAAUAUGUUGUAUUUUUUAAUAAUUUUCUUAAAAACUGCUAUUUUUGGAAAAUUUUUAUUUUAUAGAUAAAUAUUAUAGAUUUAGAUUCGUGAUUUAGAAAUUAUGAUAACUAGACUAUUUGUGGACAAAUGAAUACUCUUCAAAAAUGUUUUAUCAAUAUGUUGUAUUUAUAAAUAAUUUUCAUAAAAACUGCUAUUUCUAGAAAGUUUUCAUUUUAUAGAUAAAUAUUGUAGAUUUGAGUUUGUGAUUUAGAAAUUAUGAUAACUAUACUAUUUGUGGACAGAUGAAUACUCUUUAGGAAUUUUUUAUCAAUAUGUUGUAUUUUUUAAUAAUUUUCUUAAAAACUGCUAUUUUUGGAAAGUUUUCAUUUUAUAGAUAAAUAUUGUAGAUUUGAAGUUUGUGAUUUAGAAAUUAGGAUAACACGAAUAUCUGUGGAUAGUUAUCCUUUAGAAAUUUUCAUCAAUAUGUUGUACUUUUGAAUAAUUUUCUUAAAAACAACUAUUUUUGGAAAGUUUUCAUUUUUUAGAGAAAUAUUGUAGAUUUGAGUUUGUGGUUUAAAAAUUAAGAUAACAAGAAUAACUGUGUAUAGUUGAGUAUUGUUUUAGAAAUUUUCAUCAACAAGUUGUAUUUUAAAUAAGUUUCUUAAAAACUUCUAUUUUUGGAAAGUUUUCAUUUUUAGAGAAGUAUUGUAGAUUUAGGUUUGUGAUUUAAAAAUUAGGAUAACAAGAAUAUUUGUGGAUAGAGGAAUAUUAUUUAAGAAUUUUUCAUCAAUGUGUUGUAUUUUUAAAUAAUUUUCUUAAGAACUGCUAUUUUUGAAAAGUUUCCAUUUUUAGAUAAAUAUUGUAGAAUUGGGGUUUGUGAAUAACAAGAAUAUUUGUGGAUAGAUGAGUAUUUUUUUGGAGUUUUUCAUCAAUAGGUUGUAUUUUUAAAUAAUUUUAUUAAAAGUUGCUAUUUUUUGGAAACUUUACAUUUUUUAGAGAAAUAUUGUAGAUUUGAGUUUGUGGUUUAUAAUUAAGAUAACAAGAAUAUUUGUUGAUAGUUGAGUACUCUUUAAGAAAUUUUCAUCAUUGUGUCGUAUUUUUUAAAAAAAUUCUUAAAAACUACUAUUUUUAAGUUUACAUUUUUUAGAAAAAUAUUGUAGAUUGGAGUUUGUGGUUUAAAAAUUAAUAUAACAAGUAUAUUUGUGAAUAAUUGGGUAUUCUUUUAGAAAAUUUCAUAAACAAGUUGUAUUUUAAAUAAUUUUCUUUAAAGCUGCUAUUUUUAGAAAAAAAUCAUUUACUAAAGAAAUAUUGUUGAUUUGGGUUUUGUGAUUUAGAAAUUAGGAUAACAAGAAUUUUAUGGAUAGAUGAGUAUUACUUCAGAAUUUUUCAACAAUAGGUUAUAUUUUUAACCAUUUUUGUAAAACCUGCUAUUUUUGGAAAGUUUUAAUUUUAUAGAUAAAUAUUGUAGAUCUGGGUUUGUGAUUUAGAAAUUAUGAUAACUAGACUAUUUUUUGACAGAUGAAUAUUCUUUAAGAAUAUAUCAUCAAUAUAUGGUAUUUUUAAAUAAUUUUCAUAAAAACUGGUAUUUUUGGAAAUUUUUCAUUUUUUAGAGAAAUGUUGAAGAUUUGAGUUUGUGAUUUAGAAAUUAGAGUAACAAGAAUAUUUGUGGAUAGAUGAGUAUUGUUUCGGAGUUUUUCAUCAAUUGGUUGUAUUUUUAAAUAAUUUUCUUAAAAACUGCUAUUUGUGGAAAGUUUACAUUUUUUUAGAGAAAUACUGUAGAUUUGAGUUUGUGGUUUAAAAAUUAAGAUAACAAAAAUAUUUGUGGAUAGAUAAGUAUUAUUUAAGAAUUUUUCAUCAAUGUAUUGUAUUUUUAAAUAAUUUUCUUAAAAACUGCUAUUUUUGGAAAGUUUUCAUUUUUUAGAGAAAUAUUGUAGAUUUGGGUUUGCGAUUUAGAAAUUAGGAUAACUAGACUAUUUGUGGACAGAUGAAUACUCUUUAAAAAUGUUUUAUCAAUAUUUUGUAUUUUUAAAUAAUUUUCUUAAAAUUUGCUAUUUCUAGAAAGUUUUCAUUUUAUAGAUAAAUAUUGUAGAUUUGGGUUUGUGAUUUAAAAAUUAAGAUAACAAAAAUAUUUGUUGAUAGUGUAGAUUUAGGUUUGUGAUUUAAAAAUUAGGAUAACAAGAAUAUUUGUGGAUAGAUGAAUAUUAUUUAAGAAUUUUUCAUCAAUGUGUUGUAUUUUUAAAUAAUUUUCUUAAAAAGAGUUAUUUCUGGAAAGUUUUCAUUUUAUAGAUAAAUAUUGUAGAUUUGAGUUUGUGAUUUAGAAAUUAAGAUGACUAUUUGUGGACAAAUGAAUACUCUUUGAGAAUUUUUCAUCAAUAUGUUGUAUUUUUAAAUAAUUUUCUUAAAAACUGCUAUUUUUAGAAAGUUUUCAUUUUUGGAGAAAUAUUGUAGAUUUGGGUUCGCGAUUUAGAAAUUAGGAUAACUAGACUAUUUGUGGACAGAUGAAUAAACUUUAAAAAUGUUUUAUCAAUAUUUCAUAUUUUUAAAUAAUUUUCUUAAAAACUGCUAUUUCUAUAAAGUUGUCACUUUAUAGAUAAAUAUUGUAGAUUUAGAUUUGUGAUUUAGAAAUUAGGAUAACAAUUAUAUUUGUGGAUAGAUGAGUAUCAUUUAAGAUUUUUUCAUCAAUGUGUUGUAUUUUUAUAUAAUUUCCUUAAAAAAUGCUAUUUCUGGAAAGUUUUCAUUUUGUAGAUAAAUAUUGUAGAUUUGGGUUUGUGAUUUAGAAAUUAGGAUAACUAGACUAUUGGUGGACAGAUGUAUACUCUUUAAGAAAUUUUCAUCAACAAGUUGUAUUUUAAAUAAGUUUCUUAAAAACUUCUAUUUUUGGAAAGUUUUCAUUUUUUAAAGAAAAAUAAUUUUAUUAAAAGUUGCUAUUUUUCGGAAACUUUACAUUUUUUUAGAGAAAUAUUGUAGAUUUGAGUUUGUGGUUUAUAAUUAGGAUAACAAGAAUAUUUGUGGAUAGAUGAAUAUUAUUUAAGAAUUUUUCAUCAAUGUGUUGUAUUUUUAAAUAAUUUUCUUAAAAACUGUUAUUUUUGAAAAGUUUCCAUUUUUAGAUAAAUAUUGUAGAAUUGGGGUUUGUGAAUAACAAGAAUAUUUGUGGAUAGAUGAGUAUUUUUCGGAGUUUUUCAUCAAUAGGUUGUAUUUUUAAAUAAUUUUCUUAAAAACUGUUAUUUUUGAAAAGUUUCCAUUUUUAGAUAAAUAUUGUAGAAUUGGGGUUUGUGAAUAACAAGAAUAUUUGUGGAUAGAUGAGUAUUUUUCGGAGUUUUUCAUCAAUAGGUUGUAUUUUUAAAUAAUUUUAUUAAAAGUUGCUAUUUUUCGGAAACUUUACAUUUUUUUAGAGAAAUAUUGUAGAUUUGAGUUUGUGGUUUAUAAUUAGGAUAACAAGAAUAUUUGUGGAUAGUUGAGUACUCUUUAAGAAAUUUUCAUCAUUAUGUUGUAUUUUUUUAAAAAAUUCUUAAAAACUACUAUUUUUUGAAAGUUUAUAUUGUUAAGAGAAAUAUUGUAGAUUUGAGUUUGUGGUUUAAAAAUUAAGAUAACAAGUAUAUUUGUGGGUAGUUGGGUAUUCUUUUAGAAAAUUUCAAAAACAAGUUGUAUUUUAAAUAAUUUUCUCUAAAGCUGCUAUUUUUAGAAAAAAUUCAUUUACUAAACAAAUAUUGUUGAUUUGUGUUUUGUGAUUUAGAAAUUAGGAUAACAAAAAUUUUAUGGAUAGAUGGGUAUUCUUUCAGAAUUCUUCAACAAUAGGUUGUAUUUUUAACCAUUUUUGUAAAGCCUGCUAUUUUUGGAAAGUUUUAAUUUUAUAGAUAAAUAUUGUAGGUCUGGGUUUGUGAUUUAGAAAUUAUGAUAACUAGACUAUUUGUUGACAGAUGAAUAUUCUUUAAGAAUAUAUCAUCAAUAUAUGGUAUUUUUAAAUAAUUUUCAUAAAAAUUGGUGUCUUUGGAAUUUUUUCAUUUUUUAAAGAAAUAUUGUAGAUUUGAGUUUGUGAUUUAGAAAUUAGAGUAACAAGAAUAUUUGUGGAUAGAUGAGUAUUGUUUCGGAGUUUUUCAUCAAUUGGCUGUAUUUUUAAAUAAUUUUCUUAAAACAAUUAUUUUUGGAAAGUUUACAUUUUUUUAGACAAAUACUGUAGAUUUGAGUUUGUGGAUUAAAAAUUAGGAUAACAAAAUAUUUGUGGAUAAAUGAGUAUUAUUUAAGAAUUUUUCAUCAAUGUGUUGUAUUUUUAAAUAAUUUUCUUAAAAACAGUUUUUUCUGGAAAGUUUUCAUUUUAUAGAUAAAUAUUGUAGAUUUGGGUUUGUGAUUUAGAAAUUAGGAUGACUAUUUGUGGACAAAUGAAUACUCUUUGAGAAUUUUUCAUCAAUAUAUUGUAUUUUUAAAUAAUUUUCUUAAAAACUGCUAUUUUUGGAAAGUUUUCAUUUUUUAGAGAAAUAUUGUAGAUUUGGGUUUGCGAUUUAGAAAUUAGGAUAACUAGACUAUUUGUGGACAGAUGAAUACUCUUUAAAAAUGUUUUAUCAAUAUUUUGUAGUUUUAAAUAAUUUUCUUAAAAACUGAUAUUUCUGGAAAGUUUUCAUUUUCUAGAUAAAUAUUGUAGAUUUGGGUUUGUGAUUUAUAAAUUAGGGUAACAAUAAUAUUUGUGGAUAGAUGAGUAUCAUUUAAGAAUUUUUCAUCAAUGUGUUGUAUUUUUAAAUAAUUUUCUUAAAAAAUGCUAUUUCUGAAAAGUUUUCAUUUUGUAGAUAAAUAUUGUAGAUUUGGGUUUGUGAUUUAGAAAUUAGGAUAACUAGACUAUUUGUGGACAGAUGAAUACUCUUUAAAAAUGUUUUAUCAAUAUUUUGUAGUUUUAAAUAAUUUUCUUAAAAACUGAUAUUUCUAGAAAGUUUUCAUUUUAUAGAUAAAUAUUGUAGAUUUGGGUUUGUGAUUUAUAAAUUAGGGUAACAAUAAUAUUUGUGGAUAGAUGAGUAUCAUUUAAGAAUUUUUCAUCAAUGUGUUGUAUUUUUAAAUAAUUUUCUUAAAAAAUGCUAUUUCUGAAAAGUUUUCAUUUUGUAGAUAAAUAUUGUAGAUUUGGGUUUGUGAUUUAGAAAUUAGGAUAACUAGACUAUUUGUGGACAGAUGUAUACUCUUUAAGAAAUUUUCAUCAAUAUGUUGUAUUUUAAAAUAAUUUUCUUAAAAACUGAUAUUUUUGGAAAGUUUUCAUUUUAUAGAUAAAUAUUGUAGAUUUGGGUUUGUGAUUUAUAAAUUAGGGUAACAAUAAUAUUUGUGGAUAGAUGAGUAUCAUUUAAGAAUUUUUCAUCAAUGUGUUGUAUUUUUAAAUAAUUUUCUUAAAAAAUGCUAUUUCUGAAAAGUUUUCAUUUUGUAGAUAAAUAUUGUAGAUUUGGGUUUGUGAUUUAGAAAUUAGGAUAAAUAGACUAUUUGUGGACUGAUGAAUACUCUUUAAGAAUUUUUUAUCAAUAUGUUGUAUUUUUAAAUAAUUUUCUGAAAAACUGCUAUUUUUGAAAAGUUUUCAUUUUAUAGAUAAAUAUUGUAGAUUUGGAUUUGUGAUUUAGAAAUUAGGAUAACUAGACUAUUUGUGGACAGAUGUAUACUCUUUAAGAAAUUUUCAUCAAUAUGUUGUAUUUUAAAAUAAUUUUCUUAAAAACUGAUAUUUUUGGAAAGUUUUCAUUUCUUUGAUAAAUAUUGUAGAUUUGGGUUUGUGAUUUAGAAAUUAGGAUAAAUAGACUAUUUGUGGACUGAUGAAUACUCUUUAAGAAUUUUUUAUCAAUAUGUUGUAUUUUUAAAUAAUUUUCUGAAAAACUGCUAUUUUUGAAAAGUUUUCAUUUUAUAGAUAAAUAUUGUAGAUUUGGAUUUGAGAAUUAGAAAUUAGGAUAACUAGACUAUUUGUGGCAGAUGAAUACUCUUUAAAAAAUUUUCAUCAACAGGUUGUAUUUUUAAAUAAUUUUCUUAAAAGCUGCUAUUUCUGAAAAGUUUACAUUUUUUUUGAGAAAUACUAUAGAUUUGACUUUGUGAUUUAUAAAUUAAGAUAACAAUAAUAUUUGUGGAUAGUUUAGUAGUUUUUUAGAAAUUUUCAUCAACAAGUUGUAUUUUAAAUAAUUUUCUUAAAAACUUCUAUUUUUGGAAUUUUUUCAUUUUUUUAGAGAAAUAUUAUAGAUUUGGGUUUGUGAUUAAAAAAUUAGGAGAACAAGAAUAUUUGUGUAUAGAUGAGUAUUCUUUUAGAAAUUUUCAUCAGUAAGUUGUAUUUUUAAUAAUUUUCUAUAAACUUCAAUUUUUGGAAAAUUUUCAUUUUUUAGGGAAAUAUUGUAGAUUUGGGUUUGUGAUUUAAAAAUUAGGAUAACUAGAAUAUUUGUGGAUAGAUGAGUAUUAUUUAAGAAUUUUUCAUUAAUGUGUUGUAUUUUUAAAUAAUUUUCUUAAAAACUGCUAUUUUUGGAAAGUUUUCAUUUCUUUGAUAAAUAUUGUAGAUUUGAAUUUGUGAUUUAGAAAUUAGGAUAACUAGACUAUUUGUGGACAGAUGAAAACUCUUUAAGAAUUUUUCAUCAAUAGGUUGUAUUUUUAAAUAUUUUUCUUAAAAACUGCUAUUUUUGGAAAGUUUUCAUU